AAGACACCUGGCUACGGCUUCAGAAAUACCUACUUUUUUUUUGCUUCGAUUUCUUUGGUACCUCCAGAAAUCAAGCUGACACAGCGACUUUUUCUCCAUCUCUAUCCACUCCAGAUCCCCACGAUGUUUGACAUUCGCGAGAAGGAGGUUCAUUUGGAGGUGCUCUCGAAAGCGCCUGUGAGGUCCAUCAGCGAAACGCAUCGAUUUGGCCUUCUGGUACUUGGUGUCUUCGGCAUGAUUUGCGGAUCUUUUGGCAGCUACACGUUCAACCUCGUCUCCGGAUCCCUCCAGGAACGAUACUCUCUCUCACAGCGCGAUUUGAGCACCAUCACGACCGCAGGAACGGUGAUUGGGAAUGUGAUGCUUCCAUACUCCUUUCUGUACGAUUACAUCGGGCCGCUCCCCAUUGCGGUUCUUUCCUCGUUUGUCUUUCCACUCGGCGCUCUCCUUGUCGCUUUGUGCUUUCAGGGCGUCAUUGUCGGCAACUUGGUGAAGCUGUGUGUAUUUUAUUCAUUUAUGAACGUGGGUACCUCAUUCUUUGACCUCUCCAGCUGCAUAACUAUUCUGAGCUAUUUCCCCACAACUAGAGGUCCUGUUGUGGCGCUUCUCAAGACCUUUAUUGGCCUUGGCGCCGCUAUUGUGGGAAGUAUGUUCCAGGGAUUCUUCGGCGGCGCGGUGCAGUACUUCUUCUACUUCUUGAUGCUGUUCGCGAUCAUCGUCGGUGUGCUGGGUAUCAUCUUUCUGCGUCUUCCAGCGUACCACCUCACAGGUUACGAGGAGUCGCAUCUCUCAAAGGCGGAAAAAGAGCAGCGACUGGCAUCCAAGGCGCAAUUCCUGAAGCAGAAGCCGCCAAUGUGGCGCUUCUACUACGGCUUUGUACUCAUGGUGGUGCUCAUUGGCUUUUUGCCGCUCACGGCCGCCCUUGUGGACUACCUGGACCUCGGACGAAAAGAGAAGCUGACGUUCGCCACCAUCACAACCAUCUUUGCCGCGGGCUUCGUCGUGAUAGCCAUCCCUCCCGAGGUGUUCCACUGCCCUCGUCGAAUCUCACCCGCUCAUGAGGAUUUUGAAACCCUCGAAAAGGGGGAGACGAUGCCACACAACAACUCCAAUGAUGCCGACAAGCCACUUCCUUUCCCAAGCCCGGCAGUCGCGGAAGAGGAUGUGGACACAGAGAUCGACUACAUCGCGCCGCAGUACCAAACAUCUUUUGUGAAGAAUCUCCUCUCCGUCCAUCUGUGGGCACUCUGGUGGACUUCGUUCUGCAUCGUCGGCGCCGAAGAUGUGAUCAUUAACAAUUCCAGCUACAUCUUUGGCGCCUUGGCCGGCGAAAAGACCUCUACAUCCACCCGCACUCUUCUCACCGUCCUUAACGGUGUCGGAAGUGCGACGGGUCGGCUGCUAAUGUCGUACUUUGAGGCGUGGUCGCAGAACCGUCCAGCAGAGAAACGGAUCCCGCUCACGAUUUCAUUGUUCAUUCCGACCACAUCUAUAAUCGUUACCAUUGUGCUGUUUCUCACGCUACCAAAGCAGGCACUCCCGCUCCCGUACGUUAUUGCGGCCAUCGGCAACGGUUUCCUCGCCGCCACCACGAUCCUCAUCACGCGCACCAUCUACGCCCGGGACCCUGCCAAGCACUACCACUUCUGCUUCCUCGCUGCCGCCGCCUCGUCCAUCGCCCUUAACCGCUUCCUCUACGGUGAGUGGUAUACAGUACAGUCAGAGAAACUGGGUAACUCUCUUCUCUGCACACACCGCAAGUGCGUUGAGAUGCCGCUUAUCGUGCUGCUCGGUUUGUCAUGCAGCGCUUUUGUGUCGAACGUCGUGGUUCAUUUCACGUAUCGCCGCUACAGCGAGCGUGUUCUCGCUGAGCGCCGCCGCCUCCGCGAGGAGAACUUCCCAAACUCUGAGCCACUUGACGAGGGCACUCCGGAGACGACACUGUAGCUGUGAUUGGUUCUCUCCGCAUACUUCCGUGCACGAUCGAGGAAGGGAAAGCAGCACAAACCGCUUCCUUCGAACCUUUUCAUUAUUGUAGAAUGACUGUGACGUCCUUGUGUUCGUAAGAACGUCGGCUGCUUUUGCACGCUGAUCUGACGUAACGGGCAAUUGGUUUUGGAGUGUCUCCUUCUUUACACGAGAUAUAUCACCAAAAAAAAACGCAAUCCCUCUGUUUCGCCCUUCUCCGUAGGGAUACAAGCACACGUGGCAUGGCUCCCAUGCAGCCGAUAAUGCGGCGUGGGAACAAGAGUUGUGUCCUGUAUGGAUCUGUCGUUUUUUUUUCUUUCUGUUUCUUCCUUCUUCCCUACGACGUUGAAGUGGAAAAGUCACGUGAGCACUUGGGCAUGCGCAUGUAGCUUUCGCUUUGCACUUGUCUUAUGGACUGCAUUAUGUGCAGUAGCCCGCGGCGUAAGCCUGCUCUCUUUGACUCUCGCUCAACCUCCCCGCCCGUCUCUUCGUUACAAGCUCGAGAAAAAAGGCACAAUGUUGAUGGCCGU
rnacentral:misc_RNA from 1 species